UACACUCCUGCGGGAGGCAGCAGUGGGGAAUAUUGGACAAUGGGCGCAAGCCUGAUCCAGCCAUGCCGCGUGAGUGAUGAAGGCCCUAGGGUUGUAAAGCUCUUUCACCGGAGAAGAUAAUGACGGUAUCCGGAGAAGAAGCCCCGGCUAACUUCGUGCCAGCAGCCGCGGUAAUACGAAGGGGGCUAGCGUUGUUCGGAAUUACUGGGCGUAAAGCGCACGUAGGCGGAUCGAUCAGUCAGGGGUGAAAUCCCAGGGCUCAACCCUGGAACUGCCUUUGAUACUGUCGAUCUGGAGUAUGGAAGAGGUGAGUGGAAUUCCGAGUGUAGAGGUGAAAUUCGUAGAUAUUCGGAGGAACACCAGUGGCGAAGGCGGCUCACUGGUCCAUUACUGACGCUGAGGUGCGAAAGCGUGGGGAGCAAACAGGAUUAGAUACCCCGGUAGUCCCAUG
rnacentral:rRNA from 1 species